GAAAAACCUUAAUCAUUUUAUGGUUAUUAUCAUUGCUAUUAUUAAUUGUUAUUAUGGCAAUUGACCAAGUAAAUCUUUUAAAAUCUUUUUUUGCCAACAAACUUCCUACUUCUUAAUCUUACCCUUCUUCAUCUAUUCAAAGACUUACCCGUUCAUCAUCACCAUGCUAUUCAAAUCAUCUGCCUUUGGAAAUCUUCAGCUAACCUUAACUUGAUUAAACCUACAAUUCAACAUUAUUUAUCAAUAGUUUUGACCCAUGCAACAAAUGUUAAACCCAAUGAAAGAUUCAAUUUGGCCCAGUUUAAAUGGUACUGUCAAUAAAAUUGGUUAAAAUUGAAACUAACCCAUUUAGUACGAAGCAACAACCCUUGGUUUACCAUGUCCAAGUUAAUCAACUAACCUUUCACCAACAACUAUUGAUGUCUAAUGCAACCGGAUUCAUUCAAUUUUUGACUGGAAAUCGCUGAACUUGACUGGAGGAAUGGAUGAACUUGCAAAAUGUCAAAAUCAAACCGAGUGGAGGCCAAGAGAAUCAUAUUUGGAUCAAGAUUUUAGGAGUCAAACAUAAAUCUCUAUUGGAUUUCAAUCAACUCAAUCAUGACAUCUCUGUGAUUUAGGAUUAAACACUGGUUCAAAUCUAAUAAUGGACAG